UACGUAGGGUGCGAGCGUUAAUCGGAAUUACUGGGCGUAAAGCGUGCGCAGGCGGUUUCGUAAGCCAGAUGUGAAAGCCCCGGGCUUAACCUGGGAACGGCAUUUGGGACUGCGAGGCUAGAGUGUGGCAGAGGGAGGUGGAAUUCCUGGUGUAGCAGUGAAAUGCGUAGAUAUCAGGAGGAACACCGAUGGCGAAGGCAGCCUCCUGGGCUAACACUGACGCUCAUGCACGAAAGCGUGGGGAGCAAACAGG
rnacentral:rRNA from 1 species